rnacentral:rRNA from 1 species
GACGAACGCUGGCGGCGUGCUUAACACAUGCAAGUCGAACGGAAAGGCCCUGCUUUUGUGGGGUGCUCGAGUGGCGAACGGGUGAGUAACACGUGAGUAACCUGCCCUUGACUUUGGGAUAACUUCAGGAAACUGGGGCUAAUACCGGAUAGGAGCUCCUGCUGCAUGGUGGGGGUUGGAAAGUUUCGGCGGUUGGGGAUGGACUCGCGGCUUAUCAGCUUGUUGGUGGGGUAGUGGCUUACCAAGGCUUUGACGGGUAGCCGGCCUGAGAGGGUGACCGGCCACAUUGGGACUGAGAUACGGCCGAGACUCCUACGGGAGGCAGCAGUGGGGAAUAUUGCACAAUGGGCGGAAGCCUGAUGCAGCAACGCCGCGUGCGGGAUGACGGCCUUCGGGCUGUAAACCGCUUUCGCCUGUGACGAAGCGUGAGUGACGGUAAUGGGUAAAGAAGCACCGGCUAACUACGUG